AAUGGACAAAGAACAAAUGACAUAAUCACAAAUAAUAUGAUAUGGGAUGCUAAACAUAAAGUAUAAAGUAAAUGACGUAAAAAAUAAAAGCAUAAAGUAAAUGACAUUGAAAUAAAAGUUAAUACAAUAAAAUAUUAGUAAAGGAUAUUAGUAAUAAAAAAUGGAAGAUGGUUUGGUCAUUCUUUGGAGAACACUCAACUACUCACCCACAAGCAUGAAAAUAUGAACCCAUAUAUCAUUAUGAGAAGGCUCCAACUUGGAUAAAAUCAACAAGUAUGCCACUAACUCUCAUAUAUGAAAAGGG
rnacentral:lncRNA from 1 species